rnacentral:rRNA from 1 species
CCUAUGGGAGGCAGCAGUGGGGAAUAUUGGACAAUGGGGGGAACCCUGAUCCAGCCAUGCCGCGUGUGUGAAGAAGGCCCUCGGGUUGUAAAGCACUUUCAGUGAGGAAGAACGCCUGGUGGUUAAUACCCAUCAGGAAAGACAUCACUCACAGAAGAAGCACCGGCUAACUCCGUGCCAGCAGCCGCGGUAAUACGGAGGGUGCGAGCGUUAAUCGGAAUUACUAGGCGUAAAGCGCGCGUAGGUGGCUUGAUAAGCCGGUUGUGAAAGCCCCGGGCUCAACCUGGGAACGGCAUCCGGAACUGUCAAGCUAGAGUGCAGGAGAGGAAGGUAGAAUUCCCGGUGUAGCGGUGAAAUGCGUAGAGAUCGGGAGGAAUACCAGUGGCGAAGGCGGCCUUCUGGACUGACACUGACACUGAGGUGCGAAAGCGUGGGUAGCAAACAGGAUUAGAUACCCCAGUAGUC